rnacentral:rRNA from 1 species
GAUGAACGCUGGCGGCGUGCCUAAUACAUGCAAGUCGAGCGAACAGACGAGGAGCUUGCUCCUCUGACGUUAGCGGCGGACGGGUGAGUAACACGUGGAUAACCUACCUAUAAGACUGGGAUAACUUCGGGAAACCGGAGCUAAUACCGGAUAAUAUAUUGAACCGCAUGGUUCAAUAGUGAAAGACGGUUUCGCUGUCACUUAUAGAUGGAUCCGCGCCGCAUUAGCUAGUUGGUAAGGUAACGGCUUACCAAGGCAACGAUGCGUAGCCGACCUGAGAGGGUGAUCGCCCACCCUGGAACUUGGACACGGUCCAGGCUCCUGCGGGACGCAGCAGUAGGGAAUCUUCCGCAAUGGGCGAAAGCCUGACGGAGCGACGCCGCGUGAGUGAUGAAGGUCUUCGGAUCGUAAAACUCUGUUAUUAGUGAAGAACAAAUGUGUAAGUAACUAUGCACGUCUUGACGGUACCUAAUCAGAAAGCCCCGGCUAACUACGUG